UACGUAGGGUGCGAGCGUUGUCCGGAAUUACUGGGCGUAAAGCGCACGUAGGCGGACCAGCAAGUUAGGGGUGAAAUCCCGGGGCUCAACCCCGGAACUGCCUUUAAAACUGUUGGUCUGGAGGUCGAGAGAGGUGAGUGGAAUUCCGAGUGUAGAGGUGAAAUUCGUAGAUAUUCGGAGGAACACCAGUGGCGAAGGCGGCUCACUGGCUCGAUACUGACGCUGAGGUGCGAAAGCGUGGGGAGCAAACAGG
rnacentral:rRNA from 1 species